rnacentral:rRNA from 1 species
GUGGCUUCCGGAGCUAACGCGUUAAGUAGACCGCCUGGGGAGUACGGCCGCAAGGUUAAAACUCAAAUGAAUUGACGGGGGCCCGCACAAGCGGUGGAGCAUGUGGUUUAAUUCGAUGCAACGCGAAGAACCUUACCUGGUCUUGACAUCCACGGAAGAAUUCAGAGAUGGAUUUGUGCCUUCGGGAACCGUGAGACAGGUGCUGCAUGGCUGUCGUCAGCUCGUGUUGUGAAAUGUUGGGUUAAGUCCCGCAACGAGCGCAACCCUUAUCCUUUGUUGCCAGCGAUUAGGUCGGGAACUCAAAGGAGACUGCCAGUGAUAAACUGGAGGAAGGUGGGGAUGACGUCAAGUCAUCAUGGCCCUUACGACCAGGGCUACACACGUGCUACAAUGGCGCAUACAAAGAGAAGCGACCUCGCGAGAGCAAGCGGACCUCAUAAAGUGCGUCGUAGUCCGGAUUGGAGUCUGCAACUCGACUCCAUGAAGUCGGAAUCGCUAGUAAUCGUGGAUCAGAAUGCCACGGUGAAUACGUUCCCGGGCCUUGUACACACCGCCCGUCACACCAUGGGAGUGGGUUGCAAAAGAAGUAGGUAGCUUAACCUUCGGGAGGGCGCUUACCACUUUGUGAUUCAUGACUGGGGUGAAGUCGUAACAAGGUAACCGUAGGGGAACCUGC